UUUUAAUUCUAAAAUGAUUAUAAAGAAGACAUUUAAGCAUCUACACACUACAUGUUUCAUUAUUCUGCUACUGCUACGUAACAUAGUUGUAGACACACCAUUGCAACAUUGAAAGGACCUGCAUCAAGAAAGUUGUAACAACUUGGCCACAAUAACAGGGUCCCUUUCCCUUGCACAGACCAUGAUAUAACUCAGCAGCAUGAAUGCACUCACAUUGAUGAAUCUGCUUAGGUAGAGUAGAAGCAAAGAUUUCACCAUUGGUACUUGGCAGCAACAAGAACCUCCUCAUACUGCUCAGCAGCCUUGUCCCAACUGAGAUCCUGCAUCAUCCCACGCCGUUGUAGCCCUUCCCAGCUAUGCUUAAACUGCCUAAAGGUCAUCAAACAGUUCCCUAAUGAGUUUAUUAGCUUAUUAGUUUCAGCACUAUCAAAUGUCCAUCCAAGGCCAGACUCUUCAAAUGGAUUAAAAGGUGUCACAGUAUCCCUCAGUCCACCCACAGCGUGUACAACAGGGAUUGUUCCAUAAUUCAUGGCAUAGAGUUGAUUCAAACCACAUGGCUCAAAUCUUGAUGGCAUGAGCAAUAUGUCUGCACCUGCUGUUAUCCUGUGAGCCAUCUUCACAGAAAAGCCAACCCAUCCUUUGAUUUUGUCACCGUGUUGGGCCAUAAGUUCCUUAACCAUAUCUUCUAAGUCUGGCCUUCCUGUUCCCAGCAUGGCAAGCUGCACAUCCUGACCCAUCAACCAUGGAAUGGCUUCAGCUAUGAGAUCGAUGCCUUUUUGAUGAUCCAGCCUUCCGAUGAACCCGAGUAACGGAACAUCCUCACGAACUGGCAAACCGAGCUCCCUUUGUAAAGCAGCUUUGCAUUGACGCUUGCCACUUUGCAGGGUCUCAAUGGAGUAGUUGGUGUAUCCAUUUGAUGUCAGGUGAACAUCAAACUUGGGGUUCCAAUCUUUGGUAUCAAUUCCAUUGACAAUUCCCCUCAGUUUCCAGUCAUUCUCAUUCAUGAUCCCAUGCAAACCCCAACCACCUUCAGAAGUUUUGAUCUCCCAUGCAUAUCCAUGACUGACAGUGACAAUCCGAUCAGCUGCCUUUAUGCCAGCCGCAAAGAUAUUCAUGUGUUCACCUCCAACAGGAUCAUAAAAUUUGAAAAGGUCUAUGUAGUGCUCCGGUAAAUCCGUGUAACGGAAUUCAUCAAGUGGGCCACGACCCUAUAAUAUAAAAUCCAACCAUUAUGAAAAUGAAACAGUGAUUUGCCU
rnacentral:sRNA from 1 species